UACGUAGGUGACCAGCGUUGUCCGGAUUUACUGGGCGUAAAGAGCGCGCAGGCGGUCGUUCAAGUCGGGUGUGAAAGCCCCCGGCUCAACUGGGGAGGGUCACUCGAUACUGAUCGACUUGAAGGCAGGAGAGGGAAGCGGAAUUCCCGGUGUAGUGGUGAAAUGCGUAGAGAUCGGCAGGAACACCCAGGGGGAAACCAGUCGACUGGGCAGCAGCUGACGCUGAGGUGCGAGAGCGUGGGGAGCGAGCCGG
rnacentral:rRNA from 1 species